rnacentral:tRNA from 1 species
GGAGGGAUGGCCGAGCGGCUGAAGGCGGCGGUCUUGAAAACCGUUGUGCUGAAAGGCACCGUGGGUUCGAAUCCUACUCCCUCCGCCA